rnacentral:rRNA from 1 species
UACGUAGGGGGCAAGCGUUGUCCGGAAUUAUUGGGCGUAAAGAGCGUGUAGGCGGUCCGGUAAGUCGGCUGUGAAAGUCCAGGGCUCAACCCUGGGAUGCCGGUCGAUACUGCCGGACUAGAGUUCGGAAGAGGCGAGUGGAAUUCCCGGUGUAGCGGUGAAAUGCGCAGAUAUCGGGAGGAACACCUGUGGCGAAGGCGGCUUUCUGGGCCUUACCUGACGCUGAGA